UCAGGAUACAAUAAGAAGUCAGCAGUCUGCAACCCAGAAGAGGACCCUCACUGGAACCCAGGAAUGUUGGCACUCUGAACUUAGAUUUUCCAGCCUCUAGAAUGCCUUAUGCAAAUCCUGGAAGAUAUCAAUUCUGAGGGCUGGGGUGUAUCUUGAUCACCUUUGGAAUCUACCACUGCAUGGAGCACAGCACUUACCACCUAGUAGGUAAGCAACAAAUGCUUGCUUGUCAAUUGAUUUAUUCAGUAGACUCAGUGCUAUGUGUACAUUAAACACCUGGGGAGCUUUAAACAAUAAACGAGCAAACCAACAAAUGCUGCAUCAGCCUAGACCAACACAAUCCUGAUCUCUGGAUGUGGGAUCC
rnacentral:lncRNA from 10 species